GCGGUGGAGCAUGUGGUUUAAUUCGACGCAACGCGAAGAACCUUACCAGGGCUUGACAUCCCCUGACCGCGUAUGAAAGUACGUUUUCACCCUCGGGUGACAGGGAGACAGGUGGUGCAUGGUUGUCGUCAGCUCGUGUCGUGAGAUGUUGGGUUAAGUCCCGCAACGAGCGCAACCCCUACGUUUAGUUGCUAACAGGUGAAGCUGAGCACUCUAGACGAACUGCCGUUGACAAAACGGAGGAAGGUGGGAUGACGUCAAAUCAUCAUGCCCCUUAUGUUCUGGGCUACACACGUGCUACAAUGGCCGGUACAGACGGAGGCGAAGCCGCGAGGCGGAGCAAAUCCGAAAAAGCCGGUCUCAGUUCGGAUUGCAGGCUGCAAUUCGCCUGCAUGAAGUCGGAAUCGCUAGUAAUCGCAGGUCAGCAUACUGCGGUCGAAUACGUUCCCGGGCCUU
rnacentral:rRNA from 1 species